rnacentral:rRNA from 1 species
CAGUCGUGAGGAAGGUAGUGUAGUUAAUAGACUGCAUUAUUUCGUACGUUAGCGACAGAAGAAGCACCGGCUAACUACCGUGCCAGCAGCCGCGGUAAUACGGAGGGUGCGAGCGUUAAUCGGAAUUACUGGGCGUAAAGCGCAUGCAGGUGGUUUGUUAAGUUCAGAUGUGAAAGACCCGGGGCGUCAACCUCGGAAUAGCAUUUGAAACUGGCAGACUAGAGUACUGUAGAGGGGGUAGGAAUUUCAGGUGUAGCGGUGAAAUGCGUAGAGAUCUGAAGGAAUAACCGGUGGCGAAGGCGGCCCCCUCGGACAGAUACUGACACUCAGAUGCGAAAGCGUGGGGAGCAAACAGGAUUAGAUACCCUGGUAG